CCCAAAAUACUGCUGUGCCUGGGAGCUAAACCUCCGGAGUCUGGGAGAGCUUGCUCGGUCCUUCCACUCAGCCGUUGGAUGGAGGGGUGCAAAGCUAUCUCGGAUUUGUGAAGGGAUCUGCUGGAGCACAGAAGCACCUCCAUAGCAGACUCAUUAGCAGAAUGAACGGGGCUGCAUUUUCAGGCAGAGUGUUUAGGUUGGAAGCAUCUGAGAUCCUGUGGGUGUCUGGCAGUCAGGAAGAACACAGUGGAUAAAGGUUAGAUCUCCUGGCACUGCCUCCCCGCAUUUAUUUGAGAGUGGAGCUGUUGGAGGGCUGUAGACAAAGCUCAGCAAUUCUCAAUAAAC